GACGAACGCUGGCGGCGCGCCUAACACAUGCAAGUCGAACGGAGUCAAGAGGAGCUUGCUUUUCUUGACUUAGUGGCGAACGGGUGAGUAACGCGUGAGUAACCUGCCCUGGAGUGGGGGACAACAGUUGGAAACGACUGCUAAUACCGCAUAAGCCCACGGAUCUGCAUGGAUCUGCGGGAAAAGGAUUUAUUCGCUCUAGGAUGGACUCGCGUCCAAUUAGCUAGUUGGUGAGGUAACGGCCCACCAAGGCGACGAUUGGUAGCCGGACUGAGAGGUUGAACGGCCACAUUGGGACUGAGACACGGACCAGACUCGUACGGGAGGCAGCAGUGGGGGAUAUUGCACAAUGGGGGAAACCCUGAUGCAGCGACGCCGGGUGGAGGAAGAAGGUUUUCGGAUUGUAAACUCCUGUCGUUAGGGACGAUAAUGACGGUACCUAACAAGAAAGCACCAGCUAACUACGUG
rnacentral:rRNA from 1 species